rnacentral:rRNA from 1 species
UACGGAGGAUCCAAGCGUUAUCCGGAAUCAUUGGGUUUAAAGGGUCCGUAGGCGGUUUGGUAAGUCAGUGGUGAAAGCCCAUCGCUCAACGGUGGAACGGCCAUUGAUACUGCCAGACUUGAAUUAUUAGGAAGUAACUAGAAUAUGUAGUGUAGCGGUGAAAUGCUUAGAGAUUACAUGGAAUACCAAUUGCGAAGGCAGGUUACUACUAAUGGAUUGACGCUGAUGGACGGAAA